rnacentral:lncRNA from 1 species
CAGAUCUCUGUUGGCUGAUUUGAAUCAUGAAAGCAUAUGAUCAGUUUGAAUUUUCUGAACUAUUUAAGGUUGUACCGUAAGUUGAGCAAGCAUCCUUGUCAUUGCUGCCAAACUCGGAAUGAAUCAAGUGGGCCCCCCCACCCUCCCCGGCCCCUACCCCUGCACCUUAGGAUGGAGGAAUUGGGCAGGAAGGAAUCUGAGGAGGGGAGUUAUUCCGGGAUACCCAGCACUCUUAGCUAGGGGCCUGUCCUGGUCCUGGAGGGGCUGCAGGUGCUGCCUGAACCCCGCCCUCGCUUAGGUCAUCUUUUAAGCAACACUCUUGCCCCAUGUGUUGUGGAUAAGCAGGGGGAACCCUUUCCCGACUGCCACCCAGACAGUUCCUACUGAGGUUUGUUGCUUCUAGACGAUAAGGUUGACACUAAGUUCCUAUUUUGGUUUGUCAGUUCUGAAGUUUCAGCAAACACCCCAGCCAGGUUUUUUUCUGUUAUUCUAAAAAUUGCCCUGCAGUGCCUCUUAAUGUGUGUACCACCCACAAAUGACGUAUCCACUCGAGUUCUAAGUGCUGCUCUUCUUUAAAAGCAUCCCCUUCUAUUCCUGAAGGUACAGUGAGGCCAAACCCACUUCUCCCUCUCAAGUGGUGCCCUGUGGCCUGAGCUUGUCCAUCCUGCAUUCAGGCAGCCAGCACUCACUUCCGGGAGGUCACCUUCCAUGAAACCAAGGUGCAGUCUGUAGCGGAUCCUUCCUGGGGAGCAGAAGGGCCUGGACUCAGUGGCUGGCUGACUUAAGGCGAGCAGUAUUCUUACCUG